rnacentral:rRNA from 1 species
CUCAACUCCGGGAUUGCCAUUGAAACUGUAUCACUUGAGUGUAGUCGAGGACGGCGGAAUGAGUUAUGUAGCGGUGAAAUGCAUAGAUAUAACUCAGAACACCAAUUGCGGAGGCAGCUGUCUAGGCUACGACUGACGCUGAGGCACGAAAGCGUGGGGAGCGAACAGGAUUCGAUACCCUGGUAGUCCACGCUGUAAACGAUGAUCACUCGCUGUUGGUUACCUAGUAACUAGUGGCUGAGGGAAACCAUUAAGUGAUCCACCUGGGGAGUACGUCGGCAACGAUGAAACUCAAAGGAAUUGACGGGGGCCCGCACAAGCGGAGGAACAUGUGGCUCAAUUCGAUGCAACGCGAAGAACCUUACCUAGACUCGAACGCUAAGCGCUCGCUCCUGAAAGGGAGCUUUCCGCAAGGACGC